GACGAACGCUGGCGGCGUGCCUAACACAUGCAAGUCGAACGGAGAGGACAUGAAGUAUUUCGGUACGGAAUGCUCUCUUAGUGGCGAACGGGUGAGUAACACGUGGGCAACCUGCCCCAGACUGGGGGAUAACAUUGUGAAAACAGUGCUAAUACCGCAUGACAGGGUUCCGGGCAUCCGGGACCCUUGAAAGGAGAAAUCCGGUCAGGGAUGGGCCCGCGUCCAAUUAGCUAGUUGGCGGGGUAACGGCCCACCAAGGCGACGAUUGGUAGCCGAACUGAGAGGUUGAUCGGCCACAUUGGGACUGAGACACGGCCCAGACUCCUACGGGAGGCAGCAGUGGGGAAUAUUGGGCAAUGGGCGAAAGCCUGACCCAGCGACGCCGCGUGAAGGAUGAAGGUCUUCGGAUUGUAAACUUCUUUGAUCAGGGAAGAAAGAAAUGACGGUACCUGAAAAACAAGCCACGGCUGACUACGUGCCAGCCGCCGCAGUAA
rnacentral:rRNA from 1 species